AUUGAACGCUGGCGGAAUGCUUUACACAUGCAAGUCGAACGGCAGCACGGGGGCAACCCUGGUGGCGAGUGGCGAACGGGUGAGUAAUACAUCGGAACGUGCCCAGUCGUGGGGGAUAACUACGCGAAAGCGUAGCUAAUACCGCAUACGAACUCUGGUUGAAAGCGGGGGAUCGCAAGACCUCGCGCGAUUGGAGCGGCCGAUGGCAGAUUAGGUAGUUGGUGAGGUAAAGGCUCACCAAGCCGACGAUCUGUAGCUGGUCUGAGAGGACGACCAGCCACACUGGGACUGAGACACGGCCCAGACUCCUACGGGAGGCAGCAGUGGGGAAUUUUGGACAAUGGGCGCAAGCCUGAUCCAGCCAUUCCGCGUGCAGGAUGAAGGCCCUCGGGUUGUAAACUGCUUUUGUACGGAACGAAACGGUCCUGGUUAAUACCCGGGGCUAAUGACGGUACCGGAAGAAUAAGCACCGGCUAACUACGUG
rnacentral:rRNA from 1 species